GCCAGUCUAGCUUAAUAGUAAAGCACUCGGCUGGAGUCUCUGAGGGUAUAGGUUCAAGUCCUGUGGCUGUUG
rnacentral:tRNA from 1 species